GGCCAGACUCCUACGGGAGGCAGCAGUGGGGAAUAUUGCACAAUGGGGGAAACCCUGAUGCAGCGACGCCGCGUGAAGGAAGAAGUAUUUCGGUAUGUAAACUUCUAUCAGCAGGGAAGAAAAUGACGGUACCUGACUAAGAAGCCCCGGCUAACUACGUGCCAGCAGCCGCGGUAAUACGUAGGGGGCAAGCGUUAUCCGGAUUUACUGGGUGUAAAGGGAGCGUAGACGGCAUGGCAAGUCAGAUGUGAAAGCCCGGGGCUCAACCCCGGGACUGCAUUUGAAACUGUCAGGCUGGAGUGCAGGAGAGGUAAGUGGAAUUCCUAGUGUAGCGGUGAAAUGCGUAGAUAUUAGGAGGAACACCAGUGGCGAAGGCGGCUUACUGGACUGUAACUGACGUUGAGGCUCGAAAGCGUGGGGAGCAAACAGGAUUAGAUACCCGUGUAACA
rnacentral:rRNA from 1 species